UACGAGUGCCCCAAGCGUUAUCCGGAAUCAUUGGGCGUAAAGGGUGUGUAGGUGGUUAUGUUAGUCUCAUGUUAAAGCCCCCGGCUUAACCGGGAAAUCGCAUGGGAAACGGCAUAACUAGAGGAUGCGAGGGGUCUGUAGAACUCAUGGAGUAGGGGUGAAAUCCGUUGAUAUCAUGGGGAAUACCGAAAGCGAAGGCAGCAGACUGGCGCACUCCUGACACUGAAACACGAAAGCGUGGGUAGCGAAUGGG
rnacentral:rRNA from 1 species